CCUAGUGGUGAAGACGCCAGGCUAACAACCUGGAGGUACAGAUACGAGUCC
rnacentral:tRNA from 1 species